GUGGUUUUAGCUCAGUGGUUAAGCGCUUGUAGAGCAUCUGCUUUACACGCAGAGUGUCGGGAGUUCGAACCUCUCAAGCCAUA
rnacentral:tRNA from 1 species